GACAGAGGGUGCAAACGUUGCUCGGAAUCACUGGGCGUAAAGGGCGUGUAGGCGGGAAGGAAAGUCAGAUGUGAAAUCCCAGGCUCAACCUGGGAACUGCAUUUGAAACUCCCUUUCUGAGUACCGGAGAGGAAAGUGGAAUUUCUGGUGUAGAGGUGAAAUUCGUAGAUAUCAGGAGGAACACCAGUGGCGAAGGCAGCUCGCUGGGACGUUACUGACGCUGAGGCGCGAAAGGCGUGGGGAGCGAACAGG
rnacentral:rRNA from 1 species